GGUUAAGCGACUAAGCGUACACGGUGGAUGCCCUGGCAGUCAGAGGCGAUGAAGGACGUGCUAAUCUGCGAUAAGCGCCGGUAAGGUGAUAUGAACCGUUAUAACCGGCGAUUUCCGAAUGGGGAAACCCAGUGUGACUCGUCACACUAUCAUUAACUGAAUCCAUAGGUUAAUGAGGCGAACCGGGGGAACUGAAACAUCUAAGUACCCCGAGGAAAAGAAAUCAACCGAGAUUCCCCCAGUAGCGGCGAGCGAACGGGGAGGAGCCCAGAGUCUGAAUCAGCAUGUGUGUUAGUGGAAGCGUCUGGAAAGGCGCGCGAUACAGGGUGACAGCCCCGUACAC
rnacentral:rRNA from 1 species